AAAAACAAACAGAAAGAACCAGCAUUCAUUACAGGUACAAUAAAACAAUUAAAACUGGACAAGCUGCUUUUUCCAGCCUUGAAUGAGAAACUAUGUAAAAUCAAUAAAUAUAUGAUGUUGACUGUUCAUAAAAAGGAACUCAAAACUUCCUUAAUCUAAAUUCCCCUCUUUUAGAACUUCCUCCAGUCUCACCUGUACUUAAAACAUAGAAUGACUUUUGGACUUGUUAGACUGAUUUAACCAGACUGGGUGGCUUUCAUACAGCUCAGAAGAUGCUUCUUUGCUUUCUUUUCAGCUUUUUUGUUUUUAAGGGCUCUGGUAAGUAAUUUCAGGAUUAACCAGAAUAGAAUAUACUCAAAGAUUUCCAUUUUUUAAGUAGAAAUAUGGAAUAAAAGCACUUUUUUCCAGUCAAGUCCCAGUCAACCACAACAUGGACCUCUCAGAGUACAGAAACUACGACGAAAGCAGCCUCCACUAUUAGAGAACAGCAACCUGGUGUUCAGCUGUUGGCCUCACCAGACUACCCAGUUCUAGCAGGUCAGAGAGUGCACCUGCAGUGCAAAUCUCUCAUCGUUUCAACGGUCGAUGUCGAUUGGUCUUGGCAAUUCCUGAAAGGUCAGACAUGGAAAGAGGUCGACAGUGAUGAGGAACUCGUUCUUACAAAACCAGAACAAAGUGGCGUGUACCGCUGCCAGGCCAAGAGUGGAUCCAACUGGAGCCAAAACCAUACAGUUUCCAUUGUUGCCAUAAAUACAUCAAUGGGGGAGUCUCUAGGAAUUGCUGCCUUUAUCCUCUCUCUUCUGAUAUUAAUUAUCAUCAUUGCUGCUCUCCUGCUGGUGGUUUAUCAAAGAAUGAGAAGCCCCAAAACUCCCUCCAGUCCUGCAGUGAAAGUUGAUCCUGGACCCAAAGUUGUACCAAAAGGAGGGUGUCCUACAGACGAAAGUGAUGGAGACGUGUACAUAAACUACACAGUAGGAAAAAGCAGCGACUACACAGAUCUGGACCCUUCCAGUAUGUCUGCAGAUAAUGUGUAUUCAUCUGUGUGA
rnacentral:lncRNA from 1 species